GGAAAAGAAACUAACAAGGAUUCCCCUAGUAACGGCGAGUGAAGCGGGAUGAGCUCAAAUUUAAAAUCUGGCUGGUUUACUAGUCCGAAUUGUAGUUUAAAGAAGCGUUUUCGGUGGCAGCCUGGGUAUAAAUCCUUUGGAACAGGGUAUCAUAGAGGGUGAGAAUCCCGUCUUUGACUCAGUGCAUGCUACUAUGUGAUACGUUUUCAAAGAGUCGAGUUGUUUGGGAAUGCAGCUCAAAAUGGGUGGUAAAUUUCAUCUAAAGCUAAAUAUUGGCGAGAGACCGAUAGCGAACAAGUACCGUGAGGGAAAGAUGAAAAGAACUUUGAAAAGAGAGUUAAACAGUGCGUGAAAUUGUUGAAAGGGAAACGCUUGACACCAGUCAUGCGAGCGGAAAAUCAGUCUUUUGCAGUGGGGAGUUGUGUGGGUUCGGACCGCAAGGCCGGCCUGCGCUGCAUCUCUGCUGUAAGUGAUGCACUUUUUCGUUUGCAGGCCAACAUCAGUUUCUUCUGCUGGACAAAACUCUUGAGAAGGUGGCAGCUUAGGCUGUGUUAUAGCUCUUGAGCGAUACAGUGGAGGGGACUGAGGUUUUCGCAGCGCGUGCUCUCGGGCAAGGCUGAUUGGGUGCUAUGGGAUCGUUCGGUGUACAAUGCAUGCAUUUUGCGCCGUGUCUUUUCUAUACUCGCUCAACUCGGCUCUUCCGCGCUUAGGAUGUUGGCUUAAUGGUUUUAAUCGACCCGUUUA
rnacentral:rRNA from 1 species